CCCCUCUUGGGAUUGCACUUGGAGAGUUCCCAGUACUCUACCAAUCUCAGCUGUGGGAGGGAGAGUCAAGCAGAGGCAUACUCAUUCCAUUCCUAGCUUGGGCAGUUGGCUAGUGAGUGGAAGGCCAUCUGUUAUAAGC
rnacentral:snoRNA from 2 species